UGAUUAGAUAAUUGCAUUAAUGAGAAAUAGAACAGGUGUUCCUAAUAAUCCUUUAGGUGAGUGUAUACUGAGGCAUUGUAGAGCCCUGCAUGAAAACAAGGAGACCAACCAAGGUGGACCAGGCUCAGGUAAGCCAUUUUAGGAUGCUAUGAUAAGACAGCAUGCAAAUCUAAAAUGACAUGGUAUAUUUGUAUUAGACAACAUUAACUGAUACUGUAAAUGUGACUAAUUAAUGACAUAUGUCAUUGAAUACUGGUUUUCUUUGUCAUCAGGAGAGAAGAAGGAUGUGGAUGAGGCCUUGGUCAAUAUGGUGAUUCAGGAUUCCCAGCCUUUCACUAUUGUGGGGGACAAAGGGUUCAGAAAGCUUGUUAAAGCUUUGAACCCUACCUAAUGUUCUCCCAGCAAGGCAGGCUCUGAAAGUUAUGGUGGAGGACAAAUAUAAGGAAUCCAAGGAGAAAGCCAAAGCCUUGGUGUUGGAGGCCUCAGCAGUUAGUUUAACAUCAGAUAUGUGGACCUCUAUCAACACUGAUGCGUAUCUAGCUGUGAUCAUGCCAUUUUAUAGAUGCAAGCACCUCUUUGCAUUCUGUUGUUUUAGGGGUGCUGCAUUUCCCUGAGGCACAUACUGCUGAGAAUUUGGCACAAGUAAAAGCAGCACUUAUGUCACAGUGGGGUUUUACAAACAAAGUUACUUGCCUUGUGACCGAUGGUGCAGCAAAUAUGGGCGCUUGUGCCAAGGAGCUUCGUUUGCGUCACACACUUUAAAUUUACUUGUAAAAAAGGCUCUUGACCAAAACACUGUGUUGUCUGUCAUCCGGGCAAACUCUAGGAAGAUAGUGGGCUAUUUCAGGAGCAGCACCACUGCAAAGGGAACCUGAAGGAGCAGCUUUGGCAGGACUUCGCACUGACAUUGCCCCACUGUCAUCAGAACAGUACAAUAUUAUUGCAGAAUGUCGAAAAGUGCUGUCCCCAUUUGAUGAUGCCACAGUUGAGCUGUCAGAGGAGAAGAGAGUAUCCGGAUCAAAAGUCAGUCCCCUUUUGUCAAUGCUACACCACUCACUGGAGGAGGAAAUGGGAAUUCUCCAAACUCCAGAGAGCAAAGCAAUGGCUGAGAGUCUGAAGAGACAGUUAUGCGAGAAGCUAUUCACACUGCAAUCAAUGAGCAUCAUGUCACUGGCGACAGUGCUUGAUCCCAGGUUUAAAAAGAUAGGCUUCUUUAGCCUCAAUAAAGCAGCAGAGGCCAAGAAGAGGCUCACUGCUGAAUGUGCUGCUGUUAUUCGAAACAGCCCGUCCUCCUCGUCCUCCUCACAACCACACAUAUCAGAAGCUUCUCAGCCGUUGACUCUGAUACUGGAUAUAUUCUAAUUGUCUUAUUGUAUUUAAUCACUUACAGCCUGUUUGUCUGUCUUAGGUAGCAAACUGUGGCAUUGUUUGGACACCACAGUCCUGCAGACUAGGACCCGAAAUGUCACUGCAGAUGCAACAGUGGAGGUCUAGACGUACCUGGGUCAGAAAAAAGCAUAUCCCAACUUGUACCAACUUGCUGUUGCUUUACUCUGUACCCCUGCUUCAUCUGUGCCCUGUGAAAGGGUAUUUUCUAAAGCAGGUGAAAUAAUCUCAAAAAAAAGAAACCGCCUGAAGCCCAGCACUGUGGAGAAGUUAUUUUUAAAUAAAAAUGAAUAAAAUGCUGUCUGUUUUAA